CUACGGGAGGCUCCAGUGGGGAAUAUUGCACAAUGGGCGCAAGCCUGAUGCAGCCAUGCCGCGUGUAUGAAGAAGGCCUUCGGGUUGUAAAGUACUUUCAGCGGGGAGGAAGGGAGUAAAGUUAAUACCUUUGCUCAUUGACGUUACCCGCAGAAGAAGCACCGGCAACUCCGUGCCAGCAGCCGCGGUAAUACGGAGGGUGCAAGCGUUAAUCGGAAUUACUGGGCGUAAAGCGCACGCAGGCGGGUUGUUAAGUCAGAUGUGAAAUCCCCGGGCUCAACCUGGGAACUGCAUCUGAACUGGCAAGCUUGAGUCUCGUAGAGGGGGGUAGAAUUCCAGGUGUAGCGGUGAAAUGCGUAGAGAUCUGGAGGAAUACCGGUGGCGAAGGCGGCCCCCUGGACGAAGACUGACGCUCAGGUGCGAAAGCGUGGGGAGCAAACAGGAUUAGAUACCCUCGUAGUC
rnacentral:rRNA from 1 species